rnacentral:rRNA from 1 species
UACAGAGGUCUCAAGCGUUGUUCGGAUUCAUUGGGCGUAAAGGGUGCGUAGGCGGCGCGGUAAGUCGGGUGUGAAAUCUCGGAGCUUAACUCCGAAACUGCAUUCGAUACUGCCGUGCUUGAGGACUGGAGAGGAGACUGGGAAUUUACGGUGUAGCGGUGAAAUGCGUAGAUAUCGUAAGGAAGACCAGUGGCGAAGGCGGGUCUCUGGACAGUUCCUGACGCUGAGGCACGAAGGUCAGGGGAGCAAACGGGAUUA